rnacentral:rRNA from 1 species
AGUGAACGCUGGCGGUAUGCCUAAUACAUGCAAGUCGAACGGCCGCACAAUAAGCUUUUGCUCUUACGGUUGGCGAGUGGCGGACGGGUGAGAAAUACAUCGCCUUCUACUUUUUCUUGGAGGAUUUCGUAGAGCCGCUUCCGCUAAUACCUCAUACGUCCUACGGGUUAAAGCAGUGGAUCUUCGGACCUUUCCCGUUUGAAUGAGCUGAUGUCGAACUAGCUAGUUGGCAGGGUAAAGGCCCACCAAGGCGACGAUACGUAGCUGGUCUGAGAGGAUGAUCAGCCACACUGGAACUGAGACACGGUCCAGACUCCUAAGGGAGGCAGCAGUGGGGAAUAUUCGGCAAUGGGCGCAAGCCUGACGGAGCAAGACCGCGUGAGUGAGGAAGGCCUUCGGGUUGUAAAGCUCUUUUAUUAGGAAAGAAAAAAAGCAGGUUAAUACACGCAUGUUCUGACGGUACCAAAAGAAAAAGCACCGGCUAACUUCGUG